UUUGAAAUCGAGCCUUGGGAAUGGAAAGAAAAAUCUUAGUAGGGAGAAAUUUCCCUUUAACUGGCCUUACACGGCGUGAAUAUGCAAUUGUUGUUAUUUUGUUGUUUUUGGUUCGUAAAAUCAACUGUCAUAAUCUCAAAUUAGUUGGAGUGAGCUAUCUAUGUGAAUUAUCUGUAAUUCUUUAUCAAUUUACUCUGUAAAUUAUAAUUUGAUUAUCUUUGCUUCAUUUUCUUACGGACUAGAGUAUGCUUUUCAUAUAAGCAGUAUUUGUUUUUCUCGCUUUUACCAUGGAAAACUAGUUUAGUUUAUUAUACAAGUGUAUUUCUGUGAUGGAUACAAUCAUUUUCAUGCCUACGUUGGAACAAUUAUUAUAUAAUAACGGAGUCAGCUUGUGCGCCCUUUGGCUAUUUCGCUAGGUGUCUGCUACUGACACAAGUUGGGCAGAUAGAAAGAAAUCACAUACAUUAGUAAUUUUUUGCAUCCGCUGAAGUUUUAACACGAGACCUCGUUGUUCUCUUCUUACUUCCUCGACCACUAGGCUACAGCAAUUGGGUGCAAUUUGUAACAGUUUUUAUCAAACAAUUGGGUUUUUCUAGUGAGCUUCUGCGUUUUCUCUUUCUGGAUUUUUUUUUUCUGCCUGAAAAGCAUCAUCAUUUUAAUAAGAUCAGACAUUUGUGUGCGGAUGGGAUCAAGAAUCUAAUGUGACAAAAAGUUAGGUAUUUUAGUAGGAGUAAGGUAGAGGUGACCCAUAUUUCCCCGAAUUUCUGACC
rnacentral:lncRNA from 1 species